rnacentral:piRNA from 1 species
UCCUUGCCUAGAGCAGUGGUGUGUAC